UAUUGGUGUGCCCUUGGGUGUCUUUCCAGAUGAACGUGCUUAGACUACAGCUGCAGUUUGGUGAGCAUCUACUGACAUCUAAUGUGGUAUUUUUGUGCGCAAAUAUAGAAGAGUUAGGAGGAAACACUAGUUUGGUUACAAACACCAAAACAUCAUACUACUCUAUUUCUUACAUUGAAUAAAGUAAUUCAAUUAUUUUAAACGUCUUCUAUCCAGGAGAGCCCAUAUCAUCUCUAAAACUUUUCCUAUAUAUUAAGUGUAUUUUCACCAGGAAUGACAACAGACAGCAUUUCCAUUUCAUCGCAGCAGCCCCUGAUUUCCUCCAGAUUUCUCCAGGUUCAUGGUAACUGCUGGCUGCUAUUAGUCUCACAAUAGGACAUUAACCUGUAUUCCUUAGUGCAAUUUGAUGGGCGAUUCAAUUCCAGCACUGUGCCACCCGCUUUCCUCGCUUCCCUCUGCCCAUUCCUCCCUGUCCUCAUCCUCCAGACACCUCCCCACCCUCUUGUCUCUCUCUCUCUUUCUCCAUUUGCCGUGGGCUAAUCCUAUUAUGAAUUCUUUAUAUAGCCUUUUCCCUUAAUGAUCAGUGGGGCCUACUCCAAUCCUGAUUACUAUUGUACACUUAGCACUACAUAAAGCAGGGGAUUAAUAUGCCCCGCUAGGAUUGUUGCUAUGGAUCCACUCAUUGCCUUCCUAGGGAUGUUGCUGCCGCUUCAAUUGGCCAUAAAUCGCUCUCCCUGGUGGCUUCCCACGUACCAGACAGGCCAUGCAAGAAUUAGGGUUGAAUCUCCUUCUCUUGUGGUCGCUCCGUCUCUCCCUGGGCCCAGACGAAAGUGAUCUGCUCUAUAAUUCAUGACCCAGCGUUUUUUCUUUUUUCUUCCUUCAAAUUUUUUCUCUCUAUCCCGUUGAUACUGUAGUAACUGUCCUCCUCAGCGCCCUUUCCCCUUUGAGACGGUACUGUUGGAGUGGGUGGGCACCUUACAUGGACACACAUCGUGAAUGAGUGAGUUUAAAGAAGUGAUGUAUUCAGGAAAAAGAGCUCUGUGAUGUCAAACAUGGACGAGGAGGAUGGAGGGUGUUAAUGGGUUCAGCGGCGUUCCCUGGUUUCAGUGAGGAAUUCUGGGAGUGUUAACAAACCGUUGCAAAGUAACUGCAAGAACAAAAAUGUACAGUCAAACUUUCUUUGAGUUUCUCUUUGAAGAAAUAUCAAAAUGCAAUGACUUCAGGGUGAAAAGCUCUAUAGGUUAGACCCUAUGGAGGACUUGCCAUUCUAGUAGCUCCCCAUUAUAUUUCAAGUCAAUGACUUAGUAUAUCAGAAAUGCUGUUUUGAUCUUGAAAUGUGUUCUGUAGAGAAAGGUCACAAGUGUUGACUCACACUCCUCAGACUUUUACUUUCAAGUUGGCAGUGUUUUGUAAUGCUAUUUUUACCUCUGUGAAACAGGGAAUCCCAGAGUGAAACUCUUCUACAAGAAACAGCUAAAGGAAGAAAAAAACACACCAAACUGCGGGGAAUCCUCGUGUCUUUAUAGUGCUCUGUUAGCUCCUGUAGCGAUUUAGGAAGAUUUCUCUUUUAUUUAGUGUGAAAACAUCCCUCCUCUUUCUUCUCAGGUUUACAAAGAACGGUGAAAAAGUCAAACAGCGUAGUUUGAGGCAAGGCUCAGUAUGCUCAUGGGGAAAACCUGCCAAGAAACAGCAAGAAAGCACCUCUUUUUGAUUCAGGUUUCUUUGUAGUUACAGUCAACCCUACAAAUAUCUUCAUCACCCCACUAGUCCCUCCUUUUCUGCACAGCCCAGCGCCCUCGCUUAUUCUACUGUGAGAAAAGAUUGUGAUUUCAUAACCUUUUCCCAUUAAUAUCUCACCUGUUAUUGUAUGGCUGCCACACAGUGCAGGCACAAAGGUAUUAAGGUACUGUAAAUAAGGACAGGCAUCUCCUUUCUUCACCUCAAACAACAACAUUCAAACACCUUUUGUGACAAACCCUGGAACAUAGAACAAUAUCUUUAAUGCACUUUAAAGUAAAACUUGACUUUCAGAACUGCUAUUACGAGUUUUAUCACGUCUUAAUAACAUGCAGUAGAAGUUUAUACUUUAUGAAUGACAGAAAAGAGAUGGACAGAAGUUUGUGCUCUUUUUAAUGGUAUCCAAGACCACCUUAAGCCACCCUUUUCCUCCUCCUAGUGCUGAGUUUUGAGCUUUCCUGGUGUGCAGGAAUCACCCAAGCUACAUUAGCUUUUGAGUUAUAGCCAAAGCAGCAGCUGUGACUGACCGUCUGGUCUCUCCUCUCAGACACACCACGUCACAUGUUCGAACAAGAUGGUGCCCAAGAUAGAGUGAAUGAGCAUGAAUGAGAAAAUCAAGUUGGAAAAACCAAACAUGUUGCUUGUAUUAAGUUCCUUUAUUUACACUGACUCAAUACCAUGAAUAGUUUGACAGAACAUUAUGCUAUGGUUUAAUACUAGGGAUGAAACGAUACAGCCAACUCCUGAUUUGAUAUGAUUUUCGAUUCUGGGUUGCCGAUAUUUUCAGGUUUUUUUAGUGCUGACACUAAACUUUUUCAGUCAAAUUAUGACUGACAAAGAUUGCUUUAAUCAUUUCUCAGGAAAAAAAAAAGUCUGAGGUAGGGUGUUACUUCAAAGCAAGCUAUGCAAUGAAUGCAUAUGUAUAAAACACAUUUAUUAUUUAGGUAUAUAACUACAAAUUAUAUUGUCUUUUUUCUUUAACAAGCUAAAGAGAACCCUCUUUUUAGUUCUCUGAGGUAGAGUAAAUUGUAUAAUACAAUGCAUACAUCCUCUAACUGAAGUGCAUAAAACAACAAAAAAAUAAAUGAAUAGGGUUUGGGUAACCCGAAAAUCCAGCUGGAAAUGGUCGUCUUCCAGGCGCAGCUCUCAAAGGAGAUGGUGAAAUUCCCAAAACUGCGUAGGCCUCUGCAGAAUAUAAUAUACCCAGACAUGGCAGCGCCUACAUCUCCAACGGUUGUUGGCCUCCCACAACAAAUACAAAGCAGCGGAACGUGGUUCACUCCUACCAUGCUUGAUGGACUCUCCCCUUCUCUUGUAUCCACAGCUUUUAAGCACUCUGUUAAUGCACAAAUGGAGCAAAUGAUUCUCAGGAAUAGAGUGAGUCAUUCAUUGGAUGAAGCAAGUAAAUACUAUUCAUGUGCGUGUCUAGAUACGUGGGAACUAAGCGAGUAAAUUAUUUAAUUCGCGCUUGGUGUGAACGCACCGUAAGAAUGCUUAGGCCUACAAUGUCCUCAUCAUCAAGGAUUUCUGAGUUAUACAGUGAGGAGAUCUAUUUAAUUGGUAAUAAAAUUAAAGGGGUGUAGAUAGUGCGUGAACAAAGUGUGAACUGUAGUGAGUAUACAAGGAGUCAGUCAUGACGUCUAUUUGGAAAGUUAGGAUUCAAGGCAGGAUGAGAAAGCAUUUAAAAGAGAUGUGUCAGUCCUUGUGAGAAAGGCUCUGCUUUAGGUAGUGACCAAGAGAAAUUUCAUGUAUGCAGGAGUUGUUAAAUUUUUACUGGAAAGUAUUUAGAAAAUGUAAAAACAUAUUUUUAUAAAGCACUCAAUUUCCCUUCCUCUACUCACUCCUUCAUUUCUCAAUGCUUUAACCCUGCAGUACUUCUGUAGUUAUCCAUCUGACAACACAUGAUGUGUCAUUGACCUCCAUGUAUGACCUAGUGUGUUGACUUCGGCACACACUGUUAGACCCUUAAAGUUGUGGUUAUACAGUGUGCUUAACGCCCAAAAGCACACAAACACACAAACACUUAAACACACUGUCAUCCUGGCCAGGACCACCACCUGCCCUGGCCUGUGCUCCUUUUCCUCCAGCCAGGGAAGCUCAUGCCUGGGCACUCUGGGCAGCAGCCCAGCCUUUCACAUCCAGGUCCAGGGCCAAGAGACAGGGGCCAACAGCUGGCUGUGUGCAGAAGGAGCCUGGAGGCUUCCACAGCAGAUGAAUCACCACGGAUUAAUAUUUAACUCUAGACUCCUGCUCCCCUCCAGCAUCCCCCCCUUUUUUCUCUUACAACCUUCGUUCUCCCUCCAUCCAUCUUUCCAUCCCCCAUUCCUGCAGGUAAGUUGGCAUAUGCUCGACAGACCUAUACCGUGAAUAUGUGAUGGAGAUGCUCUUUUUCUGAUGUGAAGGCAAUUGGUGCAGAAUGGCUCAAGCUCAAACAUGUCACCCUUCGUUUUGCAGUUUUUGGGGGAUAGAGGGCUGGGUAUGUUAUUUUGCUGUAUCAAGUAUUUUCUCUUCAGAUUUUAUUGCUUUAUUUGAGAAAACUGAACACACUUUGCAAACAAAAAUAUGAAGUGAUUGUCAGACUUGAACAAAAACAACGAGCUAGAAAUUCUACAAGGUUUACACUGUGGUUACGAAUGCAUAAAACAUACAAACUACUGGAUAAGAGAGGAUAAGAGAUUGAUUCAGAGCAAAAUGACCUUCAAGAGCACAAGGUAAAUGCAACAGUAGUGUCCUAUCCUGUCAUUUCUUUCCAUUGAGAAGUGCUCUGAAAAGUUGUCUCCUGCUAGUUUGAGGCAUCAGUCUUAUUUGUGGUACAUUCACAGCUUGGGAUUUGACGAGUGCUCUGAUAUUUAGCUGGCAGAGUUUUUUUUAGCAGGUACUUAAGGCAGGUCAUGGCUGAAGUAGAAAGCCUCAGCGCUUCUUCUGUAAGCCCAGUAGCGUUAGCCACAACCAGAGCCAGGCCUGUAAUAGCAUUCUCAGAUGGGAUCCGUUAUGAUGACUGCAUGCCUGCCUCACUUCUCCAGCUCUGAUUUUGUGAUUAAAGCACCAGACCGCUUUUCUUCCAGACUGCUUCUCUCCCUCUGUCUCUUUCUCCUUCUGUCAUAGCCUUCCUUCAACCCUCCAUUUUCCAUCUCUGCAUCUUUACCCUUUCCUUCCUGCUUACUUACUUUCUUUUUUCUCUUUAUCUCUGUGAGUCUUCUCCUUUUCUUUUCCACUUCUUCCUCUGGCUCUCUCUCUCUCUCUUUCUCUGUCUGACUAUGUGCAUAUAUGUUUGUAAAGAUAUAUCGGUCCCCUGUGGUUCCUUCUCAUUCGCAUGCAUGUUCUGUGAGCCUCAGCCAUUCGAGUGUACAUAAAACCUCCUCUUUAUUGCCAGACAUAAAAGAGAAAGAAGGGAAACUGAAAAGAGGGAUUUCUUCUGUUCCUUAAAGAAGGGACGCUCUGAUCUUGCUUGUAACGGAUUAACCUUUGAAGCACCCCCCUUUUAUUUCGCUUUUUGUUUUUCUUUCGCUCUUCUGACUUUGGACACAAAAGCAAUUUUGUCCAGGCUAAAAAGGGCAAUAUACAGUUAUAUGGGUCAUGUUGUGAUGCUGAAUGAAAUAUGAUUUUUUUUCGGUCGCUCUCCCAUCUCCCUCUUUGCUCCCCUCUUGUCUCUUUAUGACUGCGUUCAAGGGGAGCACGGUGGCGCAUCGCUGAAUACGUAACCAACCAACGAGCCAGUGGAAUUGUGGGAAUUCAUGGGAAUCGCUGUGGGGACGGGGGUUCUCGCAGGACCACUUCCUGUCUGUCUGAUUCAGGGACGCUCAGGGGUGCUGGAGCUUCCCUCCACGACAUCUCUGACUAGGCCUCAGCGGAAAAUUUGUGUCUUUGUAUCAACCAGGAGUGAAUACACUCAGAGGGGCCAGCAAACUUCAGAGCUCCCAUUGUCUUUCACACCAGCCAGGAUCUAAAUAUGAAUAUGCAUAUUCAUAAGUGAGAGUUCAGCUUCAUGGCCCCUAUAGCCCCUCCCUUUUUCUGCCUUUAUUCAUUUUUUUCCUCGUCUGAGUCCUUUCAUCUAAUUUCUCUUCCAAAUGAGGUGUUCAGCAUAUGAAAGGUUAUUGUGUCACACCCCUUUGGAUUUUACAGUAGUAGAAAAAGAAAAAAAAUAUAAUUACAUCCUUUGCCUGUGUUAUUCUGUGAUUAGUAUUGGAUGAUUAUUUCUGGAAAUUAAAGGUGCGUGGGAUGAUACCACGAGGUGAGUCCCAGUAGGCUUUGGGGAGACAAAAGUACUUAACAGCUCAGUUUUCCUGUAGGUCAGCAUGAUAUUAUUUCCUUUAAACUUGUCUCUGUAGUUAAAAAGUGAGACACCGAAUCCCAAGCUGUCUGGCACAGGGAGCCCUCAAUUUCUUGUCAGCACUGAUACUCAUUGCAAUCACCAACACCCUGAUUCAUCCUGAUCUAUCUCGCUGAAUGUGAAAUGUGCCCUUUUAAGAAAGAAACUCAGAGCUUUAAUAUCUGUAACGUAUUUGAGUUGAGCGUGAAGGAUUUGAGCAAGCCCAUGCUACUCAGUGAAAAUCAAUGGCACUAUUAGUAAUCAUAGUUAGCGUCUUCUUUUCCAUGGAGUGAUGAGAAGCUGCUGGAAGGCCCUCAUAGCUCUGAGGGAUACAGUUACACAUGAAGACAGGGAACAUCAAACUUUCACUGUGCGGGCAGCUGAAGGGAGCUGUUAGAUCUUCAAAGCCAUGGACAGCAUGUACAGUAGAUGGAUAUGUGAGAACAGGUAGGAACAACUCGUUAGAUUUCAAGAUCACGUCAGAACACUGCCAUGGACAUGAUUGAAGUAUGCAUCUAGUACCAUACUCCAUUCAUGCAGCUUGAGGGAUCAUAUUGGCAUAUAAAAAGCUUCUUUCGUCAGUUGUUUGUUACUAAUCAACAACAUCACAAGCAUAAACACAUCAAGGACACUUGAGAGUAUAAGUUAUGUAUGUAUUAGGGGUGUUCCAACAAGUGUUCAUCAUGAUUCAAUUUGAUUAUGGGAGCUUCAGUUCUUUGAUUAUAAAGAUUGUCAACUCAAUUUGAUUAUUGGUUCCAAGAGUCUUUGAUUAUGGCCAUUUUUAAUGCUUUUCUCCACACAAGAUUGAUUCUGUCUUCAUCUGUGGCUACAUUUGUAAAUAAAUAGCCUUUCAAUUAACUCAAUUGCUCUAAAACUACACUCAAUAAGUAAAUGGUUCUUUGAACAUUUGACUUGCAUUUUUCAAAGACAAAGAAUAUUUUAUUUACGACUGUACGAUAUUUUGGGAUGAAAGCGUACAAGGUGCUGCCUCAUGUUUGUGGUGUUGCUGAGCUACUACUCACUAAACAGUCCAGGCAGCGCGUGUGUUAAGGUUAUGGUUACAUGCUUUUUUUUUUUUGCAUUGACAUGAAUUAAUUAAUGCCGAAUCGUCGCCUGAAGCAUUGCGAUGCAUUGACACAUCAGUGAAUUGCACCCACCUCUUUUUGAUGGUAAAUGGCAACUAUUUAGAAACUCCAACUUUACUGACAGAAAAUACCCCUGAACUGACUUGUGCUUUUGGUAAAUGUUAAGGAACCGUCCUUUCUGAAACCUGGAGUUGCUCAUGCUGAGAUCUUUAUGCUACGCUGUCCAUUUUCACUCAUGUCUGAUCCACACACACACAGUGACAACAGCUUGCCUCUGUUAUGGGUCUGGAAUCAGUGUGCCACACUGGAGAUCUGGACGUGAUCAUUACCAAGGCCUGGAGUCAAGGCCAUUAGCUGCCCCCCCCCCCAGUGAAUUAUUGGUCGUCUGUCAGGGGGGCCCAGUGUCCGAGGCCUGUCAUAGUGAAGGAUGAAGGGGUCCCUGCACUCUCCAAUGAGCCGUCCAUGGAGAUGCCCGCAAUAAAUGACCCAUGAGCAGAGACACACCUUUCAUCAGUGAGAGCGAUUGGUGUAUUGGGAUGACUGUGUGUGUGUGUGUGUGUACUUGAUAUGACCCUUUAAAUACCCUCCUCCCUCUUCCUGUGAUCCAUAUCUUCUCUCUUCAAGGCAACAGGCCGGGGGUAUGGCUCAGAAGACUUCCUUGCCCUGUGCAGAUAAAAAUGUAAUCAGGCUCUUCUAGUUUAGGAUCACAGUCGUAGUAGAGAUACAAUCAGCACAAGUCCUCAUAUAACCUCUUUUAGAUAACUACUCAUACAUCUAUAUAACCUGCUUAAGAAUUGGUACAGAGAAAAGUCAAUAUCUGGUUGGAGGAAAGAAUUAAAUGUCUUACAAGUUCCUUGAAAUCAUUUGCUUACUAUCCCUAAGAAUGAAUUCUAAAUUAGGCAAUAUAAAAGUCCAUCUCACGGUUUAUGUGAAUGCCAACAACCGCUCCCAAUGCAUUAAACAGCAGGAAAAAGUAUGAAGGUAGAGCCAGGGUACUGACCAUCCCCCCUAAGAGCUCCUCAUGGUUUUUAUUCAGGUGCUCAAUAAGUUGUCUUUUAUUGUGUUUGAUUGUGAAAUGACAGAGGAUGCAUCUGUUCCAGUACAGAGGUGUUCAGAAUAAGUCCAUACCUGUUCAAUUUGUCUCUGAGCUCCCUCAAGUCCUGAGCAAUACACUGGCCGAAGUUAAGUGAGUCAACUGGAUAAACGCUCUCUGGAUAAACAAAGAACAGACAGGGAAAAAAAAAAAAAAAAACAGUGACCAUUCAUUGUUCAAGGACAAAAUCUUGAGGCUUCUAUCCAGUUAAUUUAUGCCUUGCCUGCAAUAUGUAGAGGCAGGAUGGUGGAGUGGAGUUCUCCAAGAAUCAAGAUAAUGGCAAUGUGUGAUGCCAGAGCUGGCAUCCCUCUGUUCCAGUUUAAAGACAUGGUGAUGACAGAACUUGGGUGCAGAAGUGGCUUCUGACAAGUUAGCCAACCUUACAUAAGUAACACCUUUAGUUUGUGGACCGAAUGAGGCACAACAGUGUUAUUGUCAAGUACAGAUGUAGUAGAGUCAGUUACUGGUCUCUAGAGGGAAAAAAUAAACUGUUCUCCUGUUCAUUUUUUUAUGUAAGUAAAUAUAUGUUUUAUCUCUACUUGCCCUGGCUCUAUUUUUGAAUUUGAUGUAUAGUCCAAGAUUGUAUCACCUGAUUAGAGAAAAUUACCACACAUGAAACAUGUGAAGGAUGUAAAUUCCCAUUGUUUUUCUAUUUACAGUCUUCCUUUCCUACUGGUUUAUGUAAAUACAAUCUUGUACAUAAAGUCAUUAUCACAUCCAUUUUAUCCUUGCUUUCCAAAAAUAAGUUUUAAACAGUCUUUCCUCCCUUAUAAUCUUUUUCCUUUCCUCCCCCUUUACAGUUUUUAACCACUUCCUGCAUCUUUCCUUACCCCUCCACUUUCUCCCUAACUUCCCGUUACCUCUCCUCAUUCCUCAUCUGCCCCUUAUGCACCUCCUCUCCUUCCUCUGUAGUGGUACAGUGUGUGUAGUUGGUGCUGUGGUAAGCUUCGGGCAGAAAAGUAGGCCAGUAUUACUCUUGCUGGCUUGUCCCCAGUGAAGCGUGUGUUGCAUGUAUGUGUGUCUCUGUGUUUGUGUGUGUACGUGUGCGAUCAGGCCUGGGAGAGAGUGGGCAUGCAGGCUGGCCAGCCAGCAGUCAGCCAGCAGUCAGGGUAGAGAUGGGCAUAUGGAGUCUCAGUAUUGGGCCAGCAGGUAUUUUUUCAACGUCUGCUCUCUCCUCCUUUGUUUAAUAUUUCUCUGCUUCUCAGCGUCCUGGCUGCAGAAACCUGUUUGUGCUGCCAGCAUAGACCUACACUAUGCUAUAAGCUCAGACAGAAUACCACUUCAAUCAAAUGGACAUCAGAGUGUGCUCAAAUGUCAAAAAACGCUGCCUUUUCAGUAUUGGCAAGAUAGGUCUGAGUAGUUUUGACAGGACCCUAAGGUAUGUUCAUGGAAGUUUUCUAAAGUAGACAUGACAACAGAAACUCUCAGGUUGAAGCAAACAGUGAAAACUUUCAGGACUUGAGUUGUGAGGAUUUAUUUGUGGUACCUACAACAACAAAAUGAAAGUAGAGGUGGCAAAAGUAUGAGACGCACUUUUUAAAUGUGACGGGGUAAAUUUGCAUUUUUCUGAUAACAUUGAAAGUGACUGUUCACAUAAGCAGUGACCCUGUGGAUUUUAGCUUACAUUUAAAUGUGUUAAAAUCUUUAUAUACUGACCAAAACCAAUCCCAGUACCUAAUAAUGUGUAUAAAGCAAGCGAUCAAUAUCAGAAUUUCGGAACAUAUACUGUAUAUUAUUGGAUGACAAUCACUGACUGUCCAUAUUACCCUAACCUGAAUAAUAACGCAGUCUUUCUCUUCCAGAGCUGAGAUGUUAUUGUUUGUUAUUGUUAAAUAUAUUUCCAUGUAGAUUCUCAUUUAUCCAGGUCAUGGUUUUCUUGAAGACUCCAAAAUCAGGCAACUGGACUGUGUAGAGUUGAGAAAACGUUUCGCCUCUUAUCCAAGAAGCUUCUUUAGUUCAUAGUUCGAACUAAAGAAGCUUCUUGGAUAAGAGGCGAAACGUCUUCUCAACUCUACACAGUCCAGUUGCCUGAUUUUAGAGUCUUCAAGUUAGAUAAUAUUCUACCUUAAAACCAGCUGAUUCUAUUUUGCUAGGGCAAAUGAAUGGUAACAUUAACAAAUAGAGAGGAAAUCAGCCAAAAACCAAUGCCCUGUUUCAGGGCAGUAUCUAGAACUUGUACCAGUUUUGGCAUGAAUAUGCAGACGCUGGUAACCAUAUAAGAACAGUCUAGCUUAGAGGACAUGAUUUUGUUUCUGUUAGUCAGAAUCAAGGCAACCUCUACAUGUGUCAAGAGUCAUUUUCAAGUGAUAUAAGUACAUAUCAGGGGUGUGCCAUAUCUUACCAUGUACGCUGUACCUGUGUACUUUCCUUGGUGAUACAAAUUUGUCAUAUCGCGGUAUUUACACUGUAGGGACGGAAUGACAUAUGACGUUCCCUACUGCAUACACAAAAACAAUGUCAGCGAGCAAGAGCAGCACAGGAUGAGCAGGAUGUAGAGCCAAAAGAGGGAGCUACCUCUGUGGUGUGGAGGUGGUUUGGCUAACGCCACUAUUAAGUUUUACCAUCUAAAGCUAAAACACACAGCGAAAUUUCAGCAGGCUUUGAAGGCAUGUGAUGAGAACAUCAAAGGAACUCCUAUCCCAGCAAAUCUGAAUUUAUUUUCAUAAUUUAACCCCUGUUGUUGUUUAGAAGCAGCAGGCACUAACAAUAUGUAAUUUAUAUAUAUAUAUUUAUAUAUAUGUCAUUUUGAGACUAUAUCGCCACUACUAGUACACGAUAUAUAAAGUUGCUUAAUAAUUCCUACUGUUGUGGCAACAGGGUUUAUUCUUUUGUUUGACCAUUUAUUAAGCCUUAGCAAAGUUUCAUAUAAUGAGAUACUUAUUUGGUAGCUUAGUUCCAGCUUCUAUGGCCACAAGUAAACAGAUUACUGAACCAUUAGAUAAAGUCUGUUGCUUUUUGAGAAUCACUUAACUGUCUUUUAUACCACUGUGGUAUGUCAGCUACUAUUCUGACACAGGAAUCCAGCUCUCUGAUGGAAAUCUGAUUAAAACUGAAAAACAUGCCUCUGACCAGGUGACAGUGUUUAACGUUGGGUAGCAUAACUGUGCAGGUGUAAGCGUUUAGUGCUGUGUAAUGCAACUUCUCUUAGGCCUCCUGCUUUUGCAGCUGCGCAUAAUUAUAGCCCCUUUCUCUUUCUACCUCUUUUGAUUGCUUCCCCAUGUAUGUGCAGAUUAGCCAGGAAAAGAACAUUAUACCGUACAGUGUGCUUUAUUAAUACUUGAGCUCUCAUAAACUGAAUGCAGCCAUUGUAAAAGCUAAUCAUAGAAAAGCAAUUGUAAGGAGUCAUUAUCGUCUUUAAUGGAAUCUGGAAAUAAUGCUCUGAUAAUGUUUAAGAAAGUUAACAAAACUUGGUAAAACUAUUUUAAACUAAACAGAUUUCUUUUAAAAAAAGCAUGAAGGGUCAUAAAAAUUCACUCCACUUGUGCAUUAUGGGCAGUACACACACGCACACACACACACACACACACACACACACACACACACACACACACACACACACACACACACACACACAGAUUUGAGUGUAUAACAGAGGGCAGGAGGUUGAGAAGGGGGUGGGGUUUCAUCCUCCUCCAGCCCAUGGCUUUCUCCUGCCUAAUUAACCAUCAUUUUAGGCAGAGCCUGAACCGCACUGAUGGGGGAUAAGCUAGCCUUUGACGGGGUAAGGCAAGCGUAGCAGGUUCUAAUCAGGGACCUGCAAGUGGGGCGGAAAACACCUGUUCUCCGUACAGGUGUACAGCUCAGCACAUGGCUGCACUCUUGCCCUCCCCCCUCCCUGCCUCCCAGCUCGUCUUUUCUCUUUCUUCUUUAUCUAUUACACAAUUGCUGACUCACAAUCCUGCACUCUGUUUGACUUGGAUUCAGUUUCACCUCCAAUGUACAAUCAGUCACCACAUUUCUGCCAGUGUAAAAGGAUGAUUCUGCCCAGAAAUUUUGUUGACUGGGAAUACAAUGGCUUUUGAUGAAGAGUGUCUUAAUUUUGUGGGGUUUUUCUUCUUGUCUGAACACAACAGAGACAGGGGUCGCCAGGGGUGUAUUUAACCAAAACCUGGAUCUAUCAGUUUAUUGUCCUCUUUGAAAUCAAACCCCACUCUUACUUUUACACACUGUGUCCAGGCCUCUCCCUCUUCAUGGAAAAGAACAGGCACAAGUUAAGCAGAGAGCCAACACACUUCUCACUGAAAUAAUGCUGUUACUGUCUAUAACAGCAUCAUUUCAGUGAGAAUGUGCAGGCAAAGCGGUCAUUUUUCUGUGUAUUUAUGCAAAUGCAAAGCUUUUAGGUUUGUAUCAGCAAAAUUUCUAAUUGUCUACAUUUCUAUUUUUUUAUAUGUGUAAAGCACUUUGUGUUGUAUGUCCAUGCAUAGAAGUGCUCUAUAAAUAAAGUUUGAUUGAUUUGAUUUGAAAAUGUGCGGCUCUUUUAAAACUUUCAGUCACUGUUAUUCUUGAAAAAGUUUUUGAUGUUAGCUCAUAAUUGGACAAGUGUUGCUUCUGGUGUGUCACGGCCCUGAUGACAAGGCACAAGUCUUCUUAAAGAAGGUGUGCCCUUGCACGUCGACACCAUCUCCAUCCUGGAUUUUCCUCCUCUCCUCCUUUGUCUUCAUUGGAAACAGCCCGCACCAUCCUCUUCACUGGAGGAAGCAGUGCAUGGAUAAUAUGGUUACGCCGUUACUGAUGCAUAAAGCUGCGUGUCUGGUUCUUGUCAAGACCUUGCCACCAAAGUCAAUUUGCCCGUGCCCUGGCAGAAUGUAAUAUUUCUCUAAUCAGAUCAACACGGAAAUUACGUUGGUGGACUGUAUUGAUACGAGAGGAAAUAAUUAAACUCAGGGCUCCAGGAAUAAUUUCACCCUCUGAGCAUUACUGUAAACCCCAUAAAAAACACAAAUCCGCCCUCUCCUCCCUUCACUGCAGGAUGAGAUAAAGAGGAAACCAGGAACGUAGAUAGACGGAUGAGAUUUCAUUUAUUCGGCUUCUGUUUCCCCUCCAGUCUUUCAGCAGGUUCCUCUCACUCAGAUGUCCAUUUUUACAUCACCAUGAUCCAGCACAGUGUCCAAAAAUCACAGUCAGUUUCAGCUUCGAGAGGUCAGUUAGAGGUGUCUAAUCCUGCCCUAUGUGAGGUUGUUAGCAGACACUCAAAUGAACCACACCAGACCUCUGUAAUGGUUCCUGUUGCAUCACACUGGAAGAAAAGAUUCGCCCUAUUUGGGUCCCACCCCUGCCUUUCUUCCUUGUAAUGAUGUCGACCCUGGAUGAUACCUACGAUAGGUUUACUCAUGUUUAAUGCUGUGCUGUUACCUUCAGAGAGAGUUAGUAGUUAAAAGUCCUGUUGGGGUCCACAUGGAUCAGGGAUUGACCAUCGCAUAGUUCUGUGUUGCUGAUAAAUCCAGAACCAGGAAGUAUUUCUCAUCUACAUGAACUGAUGCACAGUCGGGAGUACGCAUAUGGCAUUGGAUUUUGAAAUACCAGAUGACAAGCACAUGUUUCCAUGCUAGACUUCCUGUAUAGAAUCAUUUUCUCUGUGUAAACUGACGUGUGUUGGAAGCGUAGAGCAGCAAAAAUAGAGUCUGCGCAUAUCUAUAGCAGAGCAGUGCUCGAUACGCUUCUGAGACGGAGCUGAUACGCGUCCUGUGCGCGAUGCUACAUUGAUUAGAAUGGGAACGUAUUUAUUGUGUGCUCAAUCCUGUGGACUUUAGGCUUCAGUUUAACAACAAAGUGAUAGGUCUUGAAAUAGGAAAAAAAAAAAUCUGGAAUUCUGGAUUUUCUGACCUUAGAGUACUGACUAGGAGUACCGUCACUUUUUUGGUGUAUGAUCUUUAGAGUGAUCAGUCCUCAGAGUUGAACUGUUCUUUGUUUUUGAAUUGGCAUAAACACUCACUCACAUUAAAUCCUCAUUUAGUCACUAUGUGCCAAGAACCAUAACUUUUAAGGAUGACCAGGAAAAAUUGAUUCAAGGAGAGUUGUCUGUGUUCUUAAAUACAGAAGGGAAUUUCACUGAUCUUUGGCCACAGAGGAGAUGUACAGGGUUUAUAAGGAGUCUGCAGUUUCAGCUGGAUAUGACUGAAUUGAUCCUGCUUAGUAAGUAUUUUUAGGUCCAAAUUCCUGAACAUUUUUAAGUCUUUCAAAGGGCAUGUUUUUGGUUUUCAGACAAGAUUCUGUUUGGAUAUGGUUGCUUUUUAUGAUGUAAUGUUAUGUUGUAUUAUGGUUGUCUAAUCCAAACAUCCAUAGAGGGUAACAAAAUACUAAUUAAAUCAGUGUCAGAUGAUAUUUUGUCCAUCUUGUUCAUAAGGUACUUUGUUUAUUUGAUUAUGCCUGCUUUGUCUCAAAAACUAAUUGCCAGGUUACCAGGUUACCUUACAGUUUUGAUUAUUCACCCUUUUUUUUUUUCUUUGAGGCAUUUUGACCAAAUCUAAUUUGGAAAGUUUAAUGUGUCUAUAAACAGGCUAACAGGUGGCCUAAUGAAAUUAUGAAGGGUGUGGGGGACAUGUGAAACAUUAUCUCACUGGACAAACCUAGAAGUGAUAACCUUCAUUCUUUUGAGCACACUGUACUGCAUCAAUGGCUUUAUUUAUUGUGGGUGAGCCACAGAACUACAUUUCUUUAACCAGGAGUCCUGUGUGAAAAUUCUGAAUGCAUUCUUAAGGUUAUUAUUAUUUUUUUUUGGUAACGCUGUAUUUUCAUAGUUUUCACUUUACAUGCUAUCAGCAUGUCGACAGUGUGUUAGUGGACAAACUUUGGAAAUUUAUUACACAGAAUAAAAAUUUUUCUACCCCUGCUUGCGAUGUUGACAUGUAGUUACUGUAAGACCUGUUUGUGUUCAAGUCCUCUUUUUUCUGUACAGCUCGAUUUUUAAAAGUUAUUAGGGGGUUCAUUUUUUCUAUGAUUGACACUUGAUAAAGAUAUAAAGAUUGCGUAGCUCACCCAGGGAUACACUGUUUACGCCGAGUGUCAUCACAGCGACUCCCCCGCUAAAUGCGUACAACGCUACUGCGUCAGUGGUGAUUCCAGGAAGUGGAGAAAAUCCUGGAAAUACAGAGAGCAAUUCAGCUUCAAAUUCAUAUAGUGACGGAAGGCAGAGCCAAGUUGUCCAUAGUGUAUAAUAUCUAUGAUUGGCAUUCAACAAACGUAAUCUAAACAGACAAGUAAAAUGCAUUCAACUAACAACCUGUAAACUAUAAGCUGUACCAGUCAACAUUGACACAACUGUCAAAAGACAAGCAACAUGCUGGAUGCAUUUCGAUUUCAAACAUAUUGCAUUAACUUUCUUCUAACCAUCAUUGUACUUUUGUGCUUGCUAUGUAAUAUUGAACAGGCUAUCAGUAGAUGUCUUUUUGUCAAAAAAUCUUUUUUUUCCCAACUUUCAGCUGUCGUUCCUUGCACCUUGCUGAAAUAAGGUGAAGAUUUGUGUACAGAUGUGCAGAGGCGUCAUAAGGGAAUGAGGUUCAAAGUGUCCAUGAAUGACAGGGGGCUCUAAAGAUAUUACAACAUUUCCAACAGCGAGGUGUUAAAGCCGUACGUGGUAUUUUAAAUGGGACCCAAAGUCACCUUUCACCUCUGACCAUACCCAGCAGGAGUUUGUGAUCCAAGACAAAGCAGCAAAAUACUGAAUUAUAUUCUAGUAACAAAAAUUCAUGAUCAACAACCAACUUUCUUUAAAUUAACAUGUACGUACACACACACACACACUGACUGUUAUUCAAGAGACUCUUAAUAGUAUUUGUUAAAGAGGGAAAAGCACCACUCAUUCAUUCAGUCUUGUCUCAGUACUUAAUGGAUUUGGUUACAGCUUGUUUAUGUUGUGUCAAGGUGACUGCGACUACCGUGGCACUCAGCUGCUCUUGAUACUGCUGGUUAGUAAAUGAAGAGAAGGUGUUUGCAGGAAUAAAACACAAUGAACCUUGAUCAGGCUCUCAGAUGAAGGAUUAAUUUACUGUUCCUUUGAAUGAGCAAUCCUCAUGGUCCAUAAUUACUUAAGUUUCAUUCUGGGUUAAUUAUGGUCAUUAGCACUAUGUGUUCUACGUGAGGGGCUAAUUUUGAGAAGAAUGACUGGGGAUUUAACAAAAGGGAAAAAAACCCACAGGAGCCUCUGAAAUAAACAGAUCAUUUAGUUUGGAGGGGUGGAAAUUGAUAGAAACAGCAGGGAAACCGCUGAGGAGGGAACAAUUAUUCAAAUGGUGCGACAAAAGCAGAUGCUACAAAUUAGAUUUGUUUAGCUAAGGUGCUCCCCUACCUGUUUCUACUGGGAAGCUUAAACUGAAGAUGGUGUUUGUAUGUCUAAGUGUGUAUAUGAGAGGAAAUCUGACUCUUAAAAAAGGUCCCCAUGUUCAUAAAAUGCUGCCCAAGAUACUCUUAACCUGAUCAGGAGGUUUAAAAAUGGUGAAAUACCAACAGAUUUUAUGCCUAAGCACUUACCAAAAACCAGUCUAGCAGAUUUUUGGUAAGUGCUCAGGAUGUAAGAAACAUAAUAACCAACAAUUAAAUACACAACAAUGCAACAACCAAGGAUGAUUGGCUAGUGGGAAGAAAUAAAGACACCACAAUGGAGAAAAGAUAAAAAUGAGAAGAAUAAUACCAGAUAUUCUAGUUUAAUUGGGAAGUAAAUUUAUUUGUAUUUAUCUUUCUGCGUUUCUUUGAGAUUUUAGGUAUGGGAGUCCUGGUGCAAUCAGAAGAUUAAAUAGAGCGUGUGGUGUGCAGAGAAAGGAAGGUUGCGAGGGCCGGGAUGAUGAAGGCUUGUUUGGCUCCCCUCGUGUCUCCUCAGCAGAGCAGCCCAGCGUGAGGAAAAGCUUGUUAAAUCCCUAAUAGUAGCUAUCAAAGGCUAUUGAUUAUCUUUCCCGCCCUGUUUGGGUGACAAAGUAAGCAUUAGCUGGAGCCACAGAGAGCUUUUUAAGACACGUUUUCCUCAGGGGCUGCCCACUCCCCUGGGCUGUCCACAAGAGAGAUCACACACAUGUACACGUACAUGCACAUGCACAUACACACAAACACAUGCACACACUAGCUUGUAUCUUUUUUUCAAAGCUAACAAACUGCCAUCCUUUCACCCUCCUGCCACCAGAUAAUCCAUUUUACAGCCAAGGAUCAAACACUGAGCCUUGUGGCUGACUGACUACUGUAACACACACACACACACACACACACACACACACACACACACACACACACACACACACACACACACACACACACACACACACACACACACACACAAAUACCAGGCCCUCCUUAGACUUGCUUUAAGAAGUUGGCCUUUGCAGUUUAUUUGGCGUCAGUUUUGCGGUUUUGGCCUUGAUGCAGAAGAAACAUCUUCCCCGUUGAAGCUUAAAAGUGAACAUCACACUGAUACAGGGAACAAUGAGCACUCUUUCGUAGGUCCUGGGAAUGAUGUACAGAGCAAAUCUGCAUAGCCAAUGAGCUCCUUCUCUAUUCCAUCCCGUUUUAAGUGCAUUCCUCCUGCAGCAGUGGCAGAAUACUCAGGGAAAUGCAGUAAAGUAUGAUGGAAACUGGAAAGGGGUUAUGUCAGGCAAGUUAUACAUAAGGCAUUAUAACAACCAAAUUAAUGGAUGUCUGUUGAAAUAUUUAUUCCAUUAACCCCUAGAUUUCAGGCGGGCUACAUGGAAAUUUAGAAAAUUCAAAAUGGUACGUUUGUGUCUUUUUUCGCUCUGCUGAUCGGGCGUCUAGUUUGCAGACCUAGUGAUGUCAGGUUGAUUUUAACGCGCUUUCUUUGUUUGCACGGCUUUGUUUGUGAAGACCUCCCCCUCAAAAAAAGAGUGUUGUUAAAAGGUUGAUGAAGGCUGCAUAUUCUUGCAUAAGUAAGACAGGAGAGUGUUUGAGUCUUUGUUUGAGACAGCCACUUCUAAUACUACUUUACCAUUUUAUCUAUAGUUUUGGAGGUUUUUUUUAUUUAAAUCUUUUUUCCUUUAAUGAUUGGACAGUGAAUGAGACAGGAAAUGUGGGUGAGAGAAAGGGGAUGAUAUGCAGCAAAUGGUCAGAGAUGAUACUCAAAACCACGACUGCUUCACAGACGAUAGUCUGCAUACAUGGGGUGCACUAACUCUGAGCUACCUGCAUGCCCCAUUUUAUCGACAGUUUUACUGUUUUCAUAGUUUAUUGCCAUCAGAUUAGAGAAAAUACAGUAUGAAGCAUUUAGAGUAGGACUGGGUGAUUAUAUGAUCGUGAUUAAUGAUUGUGAUAAAUUUCAGUUCAAUCACAGGGAUCAGCUGUGAGCAUAUUUACUUGUUUAAACAUAGCGGAAAUGUGCGUGACAACAGCCAAUCAGAGUCAAGCUUUUCCUGCUCACUUUUGUAAGUUGCUGGAGAGGUAAACAGGAGAAGUAAACAGAAUGACCGAAUGUGGAGCUAAACGCGAAGCUGAGGGCAGCAAAAUAGAUGUGAGCCAUGACUUUGAGUCAUCCUCCGAAGAUGCCAUUGUUAUUCAACGUUGGUUGUGUGGCAGUGGUUCGGGUAUCUCCAAAGUGAGAUCGAACAAUUAAGGCGAUGUGCGAGGUAUGUCGGCAGUUGGUGCACUCAAGCACCAGCAAACACAACAGAUCUGUUUAAUCAUUUGAAGUACAUCCCAAGUGAUGAUGUGGAAAGCAUGAAAAUACGAGCAGAGUCUGCACAGCCUGCCACUGCUGACGGCACAAGUAGCAUUAGCAUCUUAGCCACAACUAGCGGUGCAGCCACUAGAGCAAAGCAGCAAUCAAUCAUUUCAUCUACGUUUACAUCAUCUAAUGUUUACAUUCUAAGGCAUCUUUAUUUUCCCUGAGGGGGUGAUUUGUUUAUUUUGGGUCUUGCAUACCUGCAAAAACACUCAGGACUGUGAACUAGUUUUAUUUACUGUAUUAUUUAGUAUGUAUCUAGAUUUGUUGUACUGUUGAAUUGAAUUGUUUUUUUAUUAUUAUAUAUAUAUAUUUUUCUAUGUUCAUCUUAUUUAAUUUGCUUUGUUAUUUAAUAUACAUGCUUUAAAACUGGCAGUUUAAAAAAAAAGUGAUAAUAAUCGAGAUCAGAUGAUAUGAAAAAAUAUAUUGUGCUCAUUUUUUAUUUUGCCUAAUCCCCCAGUCCUAAUUCAGAGCAUUUCAAAACAUAUUAUACAUUCCCUCAAUAAGGGUCUGAUGAGAGGGCAUUUGAAACUGAGGUUGCGGGCACUACUAGUGCAAAAAAACAAAAAACAAAAAAAGGAUAAGAAGAGCGUAGUGCAGUGCAGUCAGUAAUCAAAUGUGUGUGCUCAGUUGACUUUGAACAACUGCCAGAAAGACAAAUACAUAUAAAAUUUAACAGAGGACUGAAAAAGGUUUUCUUCAAAUUACUAUCAAUACCACAUAACAUGUUCAUGAUUGUGAGUCAAAAAUAUGAAAAGAAAGUCUCAGAUUGAAUUAUAUCUGUUUUUUUCAUUUGUAAUUUAAGUGUGUAUGUAAUUUAGAAACAUAUAGGCCUUGAGUCCAUAAAGACUGUGCGUUGGUAACGUCAUACGACCAAAAUGUUUAUACUCUUACUGGAUGUGUUGGUGAGAAGCAGCAGUCUGUAUUGAAAAGGCAUCACCAAACUCACUGUAGCGUGACACUGCAGAUGUAUUUAGUAGCUUAGUAAGAGGAUAUUCAAUUUAUUCAUGAUGCAAACCGCAGAGUCGAUGUGUGUGAGUGAGGGACUGUGUGCAAGUGCAUGGCGAGUGUGGAGUGAACCAUGAAAUGAAAACACCCUAUAACCAUUUCCCUGCAUCUCUCAAUUAGGACAUCAUCUAUGCAGAGGGAGUGUUCAUGAGUGGCUUCUUCUUUAUUUACAGUUACACACCACAGUGCUGACAAACAUGGUGCUGAGGGGGAAAAAUUCUGCCGAAGAUGGGAACAGAAUACCAGACAUGUAUAAGUUGCUGCGUGUGUCCUCUACAACUUGUGGGCUUAAUAGUUACUGUGCUUAAUAGUUAAUGCCAGCUGCCAGGAAGUGUGGGCAUACUGUAUAUGAUAUACAACUCCCUUACAAAAAAGCAUCCCCUGAAACUUUCUGAGUCAAUGUAGCAUCACUGUGAAACUCAUGUCUUAUUAAAUACUUGUUCUCUUAUGCCCAGCGUCCAUUUUGGGUCCUUGCCCAGAGUUACCUGGCAACCUUGUGCAACUUUUAAGUGUAAGGACACUUCUGUCUAACUAUUUUUUUUAGAACUUUUAACUCUGUCAGUUAGGGAGAGACUUACUGGACAGAUUUUGAUGAUCUAGGCAAGUGAAAUGGCAUGGGACAACACUAUUUAAAGACCCACUCUGAUGAAAAUCAUGUUUUUCUUGUUUUUUUACAUGUUCAUUUUUCCUGAUGCUACAGGAAAUGACAUGAGAAAAAUAAGUGCAAAAUUGCAUUUCUGAGUAUUUCUUCAUUCAAAUCACUGUGACAGACCCAAACGGCAGGUUCAGAUAGAGUGAGAUUACCUACUUCACAAAUCCAAGCUCCGCCCCUGGAGCCCUGCUAUGCAGGCCAGACUCUGGGAAAUGGAGAGGACAAUUGUGGAGCAGAUGUGUGCGUUAGUGGAUUUCAAUGCUCGUAAGAAAGCUAUUUAUGAUAUCAAUUUUCAUCAUGUUCCCAAAGACAUUAGUGUCCAAGAACUGAAUAUCUUCUAUGUUCCCUGCUUCUUUUACUGCACCGGCAAUGUUAAGCUACAAGUUAGCGUGAAGACGAGUGUGAGGAGCAGCAAUGUCUCCACCCACAACUCAGAGGCAAGUUGCUAAUGAGCUACUGGAGCUCUUGCACAAGAAAACCCCUUGAAAAUGACACAGAUAACGUGAUUUUGGCUAAAAACUUCAUAAAUCACAAUUUAAAGACCACUGAGAACAUUUUAAGUAGAAAGAUAAAAUAAAAAGAUCAGAAUGGGACUUUCAAGGCUUUUCCAGUCUUCACUCUACUCUGUGCACAAUUGCAUUUGCCCUUUCAUACACAUCUUAUCACACUGCAGCCUGGGGUUUAGUGUCUUUCAAAGCACACUUGGAUUUGUAGAAUCAAACCCCGGACUUUUCAAUUGAGAGAAGAGCCACUCUACCACUGAGCCAAUGUCACCACACAGAUAGAAAUACUUGUAGAUGUGGCUGGAUAGAUGAAUUACGAAAGAGUAUUAGGGUCACAUGAGGAGAAAAAAAAAAUACAGGAACAAGAUUAAAGCCAAAAUUUCAAGAUUAAAGUCAACGCAAAUUAAGAUGAAAUUUCAUGAGUAAAGUCAUAAUGUUGAGAUUAAUGAUAAUGAAUCAACAGCAUUGUCGCUCGUCACUCAACAACAUGUCCUCUGUAGAACAGUUUGUAAAGCUUUACUUGGAUUCAGUUACAAAGAAAUCCUUGCUCUUUUAGCACACAAACACAGUGUGGUCCUAAGCAUUCAGACCCUAAGAAGACUGUGCCGAAGACUAUGAUGCACAUGCAGGGUUAUCGAUGGUUACACCUGCACACUAUACAACAAGGCAAUAUGUUGUAUAGCAAGAUACAAUAAGACAACGGAUCAAGUUGAUUGAUCCUGAAGGCACAGAUGAGCCCAGAGUGUGGCGUGCAGGCAUUACCAAAGCUGAGGACCCAAUGCACUCUGGCACAUGGAUGGCUAGACAAAUUUAAGCCAUAGGCUACAUAUCCUUUCGACUUUUUAAAAUUUCAACUCUAACCUUGAAAUUUUGACUUACAUCUUGAAAUGGAAAUUUUAAAAAAUCCUCUUUCAUAAUAAAUAGAUUUGGUCAUGAAAUGCUAAAUCUACCUAACGGGUGCUCAACCUCGACACAGACAAGGUCCUGCUGUCCACAUGCCGAAGUUUCCUUGACCCCACCUGCUCCCUCUGGCUCUGCCUGGUUGUGUGUAAAUGGGAUAAGUCAAAAACUGGUUGGCUCAUUACACAGCAUCCUCUGCCAUCAGGAUGUGAAUGUGGUGUGAGUUGGUGAAUAUAGCAUGUAAUGCAAAAGCUAUUUGAGUGGUCAGAAGGCUAGAGAAACUGCUUUACAAAACAAAGUCCAUACUUAUCUAAUUGCAUAAUUCACAAAAAGUGCAGGACUAUUGCCUUGAUUUAGAAAUGACUUUCUAAGAGGAACAUUUUCAUCCUACAAAGGAGGGAAUGGCAGAACUGUGAAAUGUGAAUCAAUCAUGUCUCACGCUCCAAGUUUCACUAACCAUUUAGAUAAAGAUGGGAAUCGGAGUGUGAUCCAUAAUACAUUUCAGUAUGUUGGGUGAUACAGGAUACCUGUACUUCAAGACUUGAUAUUUCAUGCAUGUAAACAUUUCUCAGAUUUGUUGAAUAUUUAUUCCACAUCAUAUCAUAUUUUUGGAAAGAUUUGUUGGCUACUUCUUGUGUUAAUGGCAGAAAUGAAACAGUUGUUAGGAUAGGACUUCAGUGUCUGAAUUUUUUUCCUUUUUUUAAGCGCAAAACGGUCAGCACUGUAUUAAUUUUCUAUUGGGAAGUACUACUUCAUAGAAUUUACACAACAAUAGGAGUAUUUUGAUCCACUCAGAUGUUGCAGACAGAAAUGUUAGCGUCACAAAGUGGGAGUAGCAUAUACCAAGCAAACCCCUGCAACUGAAUUUGGGCUGCAGAGCAUCUGCUUUAUACACUCUGUGUACAGCCUUGUGUACAGAGAAGCAUUUAGAUUCCCCAAAGACAGCUUUAAAAUCAGAACCGUCCAGGGAUCAACAAAAAGAACCAGUCCAUGCUGGCCCUUCAUCAUCCAUUAGGCUCUGUGGGAGUGGCGCUGUAAACAUCGCCAAGUCCAGGUGUUGACGUGCUCCAUAAAUUCCAGCUGAGAACGUAGCGGUGCAUUCAGGCCUCUUUAGAAAUGCAGGGCCACUCUAUUCCUCUGAUAUUUUAUACAUGAAGCGAGCCAUUUACAGUCUGAUGAGCAAGUCUGGCUUAUUAAUGAUAUGGCUGUGCUCUUAGGGUGUCGGGCGCCAAGCAAAUACUCAUGUAAAAUUAAACACGAUUUGUUUACAUAGCCGCAAAUCAGACCACUCUUGGGCUUUGUUGCAAAGCCUGAUCAGGGCUGAAACACCCAUUUCAUUUAGUUAUGAGACACUUUACUGGACACAACACACACUUUCAGAAAACAACAGUUUGAACACAGUUGAGUGUGCUGGGGAUGUGAUUCCUGUUUGAGUAAUUUUUGGCUCACACAUCUGCAAAACGAAUGAUGUCAUAAGUCGAGCAAAGUCCUGACAAGACUAGAGGGCUGAAUUAUUCAAUGAUAGCUCCACUUUUGUGGAAUUAUUCUAAGUAUUAUAAUUACAGCUGGGUUGGCCUCGACCUGCUGAGGGAGAGAGAGAGAGGCCCUGCGGCCCAUCAGCCAAUGCUAUCAUGUUACCAUGAGCACACCAAAAUGCUCCCUUAAUAAUGGCCAAAUUGAGGGAAAAGCAUUGACUUGAACUGAGACCAAACAAAAGACAAUAUUUUUUCAACGUACCAAGGAUUAAACGGAUGGUUCUCACAUGGCUCUGUCGGUUAUUUGCACAGACAAAACACAACACUUUUGUCACCUUUGUGUUUAUAUACAGUAUAUAUUUAUAUAUUUAUACACACAUACAUACACAAAGGAGCUUGACUGUGAAUUAAGAUCAAAACAUAAAGUGGCCAUUGCAACUGAGGUGGAAACCACCAUAUUUGUUCUUUAGAAGUUUAUCCCCCAGUUUAUGGAGCUUUUCUGUUGGGCGUUUUGAUUGACAUAUUUGUAUGAAUGACUAUUUUAUUUUAUUUUUUUCAACCUUUUGGAUACCUGUAUGGCAAACAAGGUUUGUACAUAUGCCCUUAAAGUUGUGUGUUUGUUUUUUUUGGUUCAGUAUAGGUGCCCUUAAGGGGACAUGAGGGGAAAAAAAAUAAAAAAGGAUUUUCUCAAGAUCUUUUGUGCAAGCUCGCAAAACUAUUGCAAGUUCUUGCAAAGUUGUCAAAGGGUUAUGAGUAAAAACAGUAUAGAUCAGUGUAUUUCUUCGGAAUCAACCCAAAUGGUGGAACGCACGCAUUUGUGUGAAAGGUUCAUUGUGUAUAUUUUGAGAUUGACCUGAGAUAAAAAGAUAUUAAAUCAGUUCUGCGGCGCAGGCACUGUUUUUUUUUAUCAAACACGAGUCAUGAAGGACAAUUUGAAAGAAAAUUCCUACGGUCAAGGGACAUCCUGAACACGGAUCUUGGGCUAUAUUUACAUGCCCGCCAGUGGCGCGGCAAACAGUGGCACACCCUGCGCAGUGGUAUUUUCGUCUAGUGGAGCCUGGCGCACAGCCAGAUUGGUAUUUUCGUAGACUGAGGCACACCGAGGUCAGCCAAGCUGGGCGUGGUGGCACGCCAGGGGGAGGUGUCGAGAGAAUCAGCUGGCACAGUGACAUUUUCGUGCUCACCGACAGUUAGGAAAGUGUGCUGAAAGCUCGCCGAUUCAAACCUGGUCAGCUUUCAGCGCAGGUGGAGCAUAGCUGGUCAAGUGGUAUUUUGGAAGACCGGCGGCGUAGUGCGCAUACGUCACCAAUGCCUCACCUGCAGUUUCCCACAGUGUCAGGCACAUUUCAGUGCAAUAUAUCGAUAUAUUCUGAUCUUUAUCUUAUCUGAUGAGUGCAUUUGGACACUCGACUUGACCGGAUUAACACAGCUGAAACUGCAUUAAAUUAAAUAUCUAGUAAGCAGUCACACAUGAUGAAGUUAUAAGAUAUUUAAGUCGUCUCCCCCCUUUUUCUCCUCGACCGGACAUGUCUCCUGCCCUGCCUGCCCUGCUGCUGCGGUGGCUGAACAGAUUAUUUAUUUUAGUGAUCAGAUGAAUUAUUUACUUCAAAAAUUUCAACAAAAAAAUUAAAGAAGCUUCCAUUACAAAUUACUGGUUUAUCUGACGUUCUCACAUCCUUAAAAUUCUGUGAAUAUUCAAUCCAGAGUCAUGCCUAGAUAGGAAUUUUAUAAUAUUCAGUUGCGUGAUUUCAUCUUAUAUGCCAACAACUAUGAAAGAAACAGCCAGGCCCAUGGAGCACGAUGCAUCCUUUAUGCAUAUGUUUUUCCGAUUUUAUGCUAUUAUUGGAAUUUAUGUUGUGAUCUGUGUGCACAACCCACCUUUGUCACAUGAGGUUUAAAUAAAUGCAACUUCAUGUGAUUGUCUUUAUUUGUGGAGAAGGGUGUUUUACCAGUGGGUCCAACCUUACACCAAAUCCAUCUGUGCUUAUAUGAGAGUGUGAAGGACGCCCUCUGCAGCGCUUACAGGAAGACUUGUUGAAGGGCUUCUUUUAUUGUCGCCAUUGUGUGACACUGCUGUCUUCAGCCAUCUCUUGAUCUCUUCGACUACUGCACGAAAAUUGUAACAAGUCUCGCUGGUGGCGGAUUUUAAGGUGAGGAGAGGAGCUGAUGUGAUUGGUGAAAACAGGUCUUGGCUGUGUUAAACCCCACUCUACGCCCUCUCUCCUCCCUCCCUACUACUUAUGCCACUGGGAGGAGCUGAGUUAGGGAGGGGGAUACUUACGCCGGGCAGCAUCGGUCACCAAAAUACCAAAGUGUGCUUGGGCAUGCCUUGUUGGUGUGGCAGACCUGACUCAUGCCACGCCUGCGCCAUGCCGCCGGCGAGGCACGAAAAUAGAGCCCUUUAUGUGCAUGCAAAGGGACAAGGUGAGCAGAAAAGGAGUUCAACAUAAAAUUCAAUGAACCUUUCCCACGGCUGUGUACGUUUCAAUAUUUUUGUCGAAUUGACCCAGAAGUUAUACGCUGAUCAAUAACUCCUGAGACAACAUUUGCGAGAUCUUGCAAUAGUUUUGCGAGGGCACGCAAAAAAUCUUGACCAAAUUCUUUUUUUUUUUUUUCCAUUCAUGUCCCUUUUGGGGCUCCGUAGAAUCAGGACUGCUUGAGUAAGGUUUUAACUGCAGCUGUCCUUAGGGUGAAUUCGUAGAUAACAUGCAGACUUACCUGCUUACAUUGAGGCUUAAAGAUAAUUCCUCUUUUAUUGAUGUAGAAAGCCUACUUACUUCAAGUAAAACCUCGUAUUUCUCAAACUUUUGUGACGAGUUUGUCAUCCUACUCAAAGAUAAUUAUGCAGUCUGGGGAAAUUAUGCCUACAUUGUGCUCUUGAGGAGAUAAUUGCAGUGUCGAAGCCUAUGUAUCACAUGAGGAUGGAGCCUUGUUCUUCAAAUUAAAUGCAUGAAUGUCACUAACAGCCUAUGUAUAUUUUCAGUACUGCUUGUAUUACACUAAGUUGCUAUGUUACGGCAUAUUUCCCUUGAUGAUACCAAAGGAAAAACAAAAUUAUUCUGUUAAUUGAGCUGUUGUCAGGAGAUGAAUAAUCACGCAUGUAUAAUUCCUCAAGGGAAAACAACAUUCAAAAUUAACUUUGAGAGAAAAUGUGAUUUCCAUAAUUUACAUUCUUCGGUUUCUGUUCUUUUUUUUGGCCUUUCUGGUGCUGUACAUUUCAUUAAUUUCAGACCCAAAGAACUGCUGGAAUCGACUUGUUAAGCAGAUAAAUAAAUUGCUCCACAUUAAUGAAUUCCUCAACUAUAAAAUCACACUCCCAUCACAGGUGUGGAGGCAGGUUGUGAUUUAGGUUGAUGGACGACUAAUCAGGAAAUCAAUUAGGCUUUGACCCAGAAAAUGAGACAAAAGGGAAGAAUUAUGGUCUUCAUUUCUUUCCUCUGGCUCUUUCAUAUCUUGACUUGGACCCUCUGGUGUCUCUGCUAGGACAAAGGAAAUCCUCUGGGCUUUCAGGGUUUCUAUACCAAAGUAUAUCAGGACACAGUCACUAUGUUUUAUUACUAUAUACUGAUAUAUUCACCAGGUGACAAAAACAACAAAAUAAGAGAUAAAUCUGAGAGACUGUCUGUUCAGAGUGGGCUUCUUUUAGACCAUUUGUUGUAAAUGGAAUAAUUUGAUAGACUGGUAAAAACCAGUCUGUUAGAAAAAAAACAACAACCUUCUCCCAUAGUAUAGGUAGAUUUUUGGUAUCCAUCUUUGGGGCAGAAAAUAGAGCCAAAUAGCAGAGUCUCCAGGUCUGAAACAGCUGGAUCCCCCCCAUCACACACACACACACACACACACACACACACACACACGUAUAUAUACUCACACAAUCCCCUAUCAGUUCGACCUCUUGAGGUCAGACAUAAAGGCUCGCCUUUUCAGCAGCAUCCACUUAGUGCUCGGAUUGAAGACAGACAUAUUAUCCAUGUACCUUGGCCUAUCGCGUUCACUUUGUAUUGACUGAGUCAAACGGAACAAAUGUGUCUUUAUGUGGGCAGAGGUGCAAGACUCUCUGAAGAUUGAAAAAAGAGAGACUAGAGGACACAGAGGGGGAGUGAAAAUGUCGUAGUUAAGACAUGAGUUAUAAUUGGUUAGAGGCAUAUUUUAUCAGAGUUUAGUCAUUUUCAUGGACACAUGAUGAAGGUAACGGUUAAUUUAUUUUCUACAGGGACUUGAUGCUGUAUUUUUAUACCUACUCUGAUAUCCAGAUUUUAUAUACAUCUAACAUGUACACUUGCCAAAGAACAAUUUUAAUGCAGAUUUGAACUUUUUAAGGACAUCUAAAGUUUUGUAAUGAGAGUAUUUUGACAAAGAAAUGGUCUCUAUCGGACAUUUCACAGUUGAUCCAGCUAUCACUAAUCUCUGGUGCAGGAGCUUGGAGAAGUUUUGGCUUGGGGUAGCUGCGCGGUGCACCGACUUUUGCAGGGGUGUGUGAAGAAGUGUACAUAUACAAGUCUGAAACAGCCUUUACUUAUACUUUACCCAGUCUCUGUGCAGUUUGCACUUCAUGGUUUGUUACUUUUUAAUGCAUACGCAUUUACCUUGAAUGGCAACAAAAAUGCUUGGUAAAGUAUAACAUGUCUAUCCUUUUUUUUUUUUUGAAGAUGCAGAACAUAAAAAAUUACUGAAAAAAGUACUAACAAAAUAUUGUCAGAUUGAAGUGCUAUGAAAGCUGCUUUGUCUAUCUGAAACAGAGCCUGAUGUCUUUAACCAGCUGACUCAUUGUUUAGGCUCUGUGAUGGUUUUGUUUAACUGUUAUUGUAAAUACACAUUGAUAUAAGACAGACACUUUCAUUUUGUUUGGUGCAAAGAUGGUGAUGGUGGUGAAUAGUUUCUUCCUUACUGGUUAUUUGAUUUUGGUUAAGUUUAAUAUUUGAAAGUCUUUGGAUAAUAUUGUGAUCUCUGCUGGUCAUACCUGGACUCCCAGAUGCCCCCUGCUCUGCGCUGGGUGGGAGAAAAAAAUCAAUACAGCAUAGUAUCAUGAUAUUUUGUCUGGUAAUAGAUCGUAUCAUCUCAUUGACCAAGUAUUGAUUUUUUCAAAUUAAUUGUAAGUAUGAAGUCAAAUCUAUGAUAAUGGAAAAAUAAAAUCAACUGUUUGUCCAGUGAGGUUGGCAGAGGUGACAUCAUAGAGCAGGAGAAAGUUAAUACAACAAAUAUACAACAACCUGGAGAAAGACAUUAGGAAUGCAAGCAGGGCACAAAUGAGAUGGUCCUGACACAUGAGCUUUGCAAGAUGUGCUACAUAAAGAUAAAAUACUGUGUCAAUAAGAAAACAUGAAGGAAAGACAAAUGCUAAAUUAGCUAAACAGUGAAAAAAAUUGUAUAAAUCCCGAUAUAUUCUGUAUCGCAAUACUCACUGUAUUGCAAAAUGUUAAAAAUUGCACUAACAUAGUAUCGUGGCCCAAGUAUCAUGAUAAUAUUGUAUCCUGGAGCCACUGGCGACCCUCCCCCCACCCCCCACGACUAGAGUAUGCAGAUGAGUCUGAUGGUUACACUCACCUCAGAGGUGUCUCAGGUUCUCUGUUUAAAACUCUGCCCGGGGGACUUGGCAGUCCCUGUUUUCACUGUUGGACGUCUGAAUCUUCAUGUGCAGUGUGAGCAUUUAAGAUAGAGCUUUCCAGACUUUGAACGUUUGGCGCACAAUACUUUCUCUGUGAGGAAUAAAUAGUGCCAUAUGCUGAUCAGACCUUUUAACAUAUGGUAUUUUGCUUUUAUUGUUUUGAGUACAACCACCAGACAAUUAGACAAUUAGUGAUGGCAGUUUGACACUUUAAAGAGUCAUAGCUGUGGAAAGUAUUGGAUGGAUUCUGGCUUCAAUCAAACACUGACCUCGGAAAACUUGCUAGAUAUUUUAAAUAGCUGUCUCUCCAUGUGUUUAAAAAAGCAUUUUGUCUUGUUGAGUAUAUUAGACUUGUUGUUGAGGGUGCACUCGACUUACACCUUCAAAACAACACAUUCAUCCUGCAUUGCCCGCAAGACACUUCAGAUAUAUUAUCACGUCCAAACGAGAAUUCCCUGGGUCCCUGUAAGUAAACCUUCCAAAUCCCCAGCUCUCAUCCCUAUUUUCCUUCCAAAAACGAGCAUUAGAAGGAUUGCCCUGCUAUUGUUGCUCCCCUUGGGAGCAAAUCUAUUUCUGCAGAGAUGGAAAUUGUCGGUCCCCACAAAGCUGCUGACACACUCUCAAUGGAGGUGUCAAUUCUCAAGGCCUCGCCUUUGUGGACUGGAUAAUUUAAUUGGAGAGGCACGACGGUGUGUCCCCGGUCGGGCCAUUCAAAUGUUGUAUUACCGCCUGUCCCAGCGCUGGCUCCUCUCCUGCUGCGGAGAUUCAAGAUUCGACUCCCCCCACCCCUACCCCUUAGAUUCCUCCCUCUCCUCCCUGUGCAGGUGGGGGUUGGGGGUGGGGGCACAAUAUGGACUCGGGCCUCUUAGAGAGCCUUUUGUUGGAGCAGGAGACACAACCUCGUGGCCUCAUAGUCUUAGAGAGGCUGUUCGCAGGGGAGGAGGGUGAACCUGUGCCUCUAUUACCUGGGAGUCGACUCGGGGGCAGGAGCAAAAUUAGUCAGCAGAUAAUGAAGCUGUCUUUGAUUGCAGAGAACGAAGGCUGGAGGGGGCUUGACUGGAUGGGAGGGUCGGGGGGGAUCUUCUGUACAGGGGGCCUCCACAGGGCAUGAGAAGCAUGUCUUUGGAGGAGCGCCUGCUGUCAACGGAUGCUCUGUUUCUCUGAGAUCCUGGCAUAGUUUAGGGUUGAAAGAUGCACGAGGGUUGGAGAGGAACACAUUCCUUUGUGCGGCUGCUGCAGGUGAACAGGGUUCAGAGAGACAAGUGCUUACACAGACAGAGGGAGUGAAAAACACACAAAACAUUCCUUCAUCAAUAUCAAUGCUUUUUGAUUUUUUACAGAGGUGCUCUUAAAUCAUAGAGGUCCUGUUUGACUUCCUCUUUAGGACAGUACAAACUUUUUACUUUUCUCACUUUUUAAAUCAAGGAUCAUUUGAUCUGUGCAGAAUCACUGGCAUCCAGCAAUUGUAAGAAUUGAUGUAGCUUUUUUGAAACUGAAAUGUGAUGACCUGCCUUUACCAAUUUUCAUCUUUAUCUGUCAGAGUGCGUGUCUCAAUGUGCAUCUGUUUGUCUUGCUCUGUAGUUGUCACGACAACCUGUGCACCCGGCUCAUGGCCGCCCUCCAAGCGCAGACAAAGCUGUCGUCGAAUGAACCAGGCGUGUGUCCACUGGACCUGAGGGGUGCCGCCACUGCUAACAAAACACACAAAGACCCUCGACCCUGGCACUGGCCCUCAACCCGUCUGCCCGCUAUUCUGCCCCUCCCAAUCCUCACUCACACACAAACACAC